CGAAGAUUCCGUAAAAACUUAACGGAAAUCUAAAAGAAAAGAGAAAAGAAGAAAGGUAAAGGGCGUAAGGUGUGGCUACCGUUAGAUACUACUAACACGUACGGGGUAGGUGCGGACCGAGGAAGGCAGGAUGUUGGGGCGGUUAACGUCCACGCGCACAAUACAUAAGGAGUUGGGCGCAAUAUUGCGAGCAGAAAAAGUUACCGCUCCCUCUCACACUCUCUGGCCGCCAAUUCGAAGAACCGAGGAUAAAAGUCCAACUCGCCCGGUCCCGCUCUCUCCUCUGCUUUCACUCUCAGACUAGCAGUUGGUCGCGCGCAUUCAAAGCAUUGGAGAUGGCGCUUAGUGUCGGGAAUAUUUUGGCUAGUUGUAGCAUCAUGUGAGGUUAGGUUAUCAGUUAAGAGGAAAUCAAAGAUGGACAAGCUAGCAGAAGUACUUCUACAUGUGUUUUUAAUUCUUUUGUUUCUGUUUGCUUAGCUAUAUAUGUUCUUUAUCAACAACUCAUCCGUCAUUUCGAUCUUCAUGCUUUGGUUUCAUCCACAAAUGGACAUGCAAACAGAAAAAUGGUUGUAUUCACUCGUCCGGGCAAUGUUGCUGCAUUUGGCAAUCCAUAUCAAAUUUUGCCUAGAGAGGAUUUGAUCCUCUUCUCCAAGGAGAGAGAUCAAACCUUCAUUUUAGUAACAGGAGUUGACCCUCUUCCCGGUGGAGCAAAGAUUGAACUCAGAUGCUAUUGCUUUUUGGUAUAAUUUAUCUAAUGUUAUAAUUUCCUAAGAAUAAUAAAUGAUGAACAAUGGCUUCUUUUGA